UACGAAGGGGGCUAGCGUUGCUCGGAAUCACUGGGCGUAAAGGGUGCGUAGGCGGGUCUUUAAGUCAGGGGUGAAAUCCUGGAGCUCAACUCCAGAACUGCCUUUGAUACUGAGGAUCUUGAGUUCGGGAGAGGUGAGUGGAACUGCGAGUGUAGAGGUGAAAUUCGUAGAUAUUCGCAAGAACACCAGUGGCGAAGGCGGCUCACUGGCCCGGUACUGACGCUGAGGUGCGAAAGCGUGGGGAGUAAACAGG
rnacentral:rRNA from 1 species